UACGGAGGGUGCGAGCGUUGUCCGGAAUCAUUGGGCGUAAAGGGCGCGUAGGUGGCCCGGUCAGUCCGUGGUGAAAGCGCGGGGCUCAACCCUGCGUCGGCCAUGGAUACUGCCGCGGCUCGAGCACUGUAGAGGCAGGCGGAAUUCCGGGUGUAGCGGUGGAAUGCGUAGAGAUCCGGAAGAACACCGGAGGCGAAGGCGGCUUGCUGGGCGUGAUCUGACGCUGAGGCGCGAAAGCGUGGGGAGCGAACAGG
rnacentral:rRNA from 1 species